rnacentral:rRNA from 1 species
AGUGAACGCUGGCGGUAGGCCUAACACAUGCAAGUCGAACGGCAGCACAGUAAGAGCUUGCUCUUACGGGUGGCGAGUGGCGGACGGGUGAGGAAUACAUCGGAAUCUACUUUUUCGUGGGGGAUAACGUAGGGAAACUUACGCUAAUACCGCAUACGACCUACGGGUGAAAGCAGGGGAUCUUCGGACCUUGCGCGAUUGAAUGAGCCGAUGUCGGAUUAGCUAGUUGGCGGGGUAAAGGCCCACCAAGGCGACGAUCCGUAGCUGGUCUGAGAGGAUGACAGGCCACCUUGGACUUGAGAAACGGCCAAGCUUCCUACGGGAGGCGGAGGGGGGGAAUAUUGGACAAGGGGCGAAGGCCUGACCCAGCAAACCCGGGGGGGGGAAGAAGGCCUUCGGGUUGUAAGGCCCUUUUGUUGGGAAAGAAAACCAGCAGUUUAAUACCCCGCUGUUCUGACGGUACCCAAAGAAUAAGCACCGGCUAACUUCGUG